GAAAUAUAAAAGAAUAUUAUAGAAAACUUAGUCAAACCUUAACAAAAAUCUAAUAGAAUCUUAAAUUCUAACCAAAUCCUAAUUCUAAUCUAACCUUAAUCAAACCUUAGACAAAUCCUAAAUCCUGAAUCGAAUCUUAAUCAAUUCUUAAUCAAACUUUAAACCUUAAAUCAAUCCCUAAUCAAAUCCUAAAUUAAACCUUAAAUCCUAAUUCAAACCCUAAUCCAAACUCUAAACCCUAAAUCAAAUCCUAAAUCAAACCCUAAACUCUAAAUCCUAAAACAAAUCCUAAACCAUAUCCUUAUCCUAACAAAUCCUAAAUCCUAAACCAAAUCCUAACCAAAUCCUAAUCCUAAAUCUUAAUCAAACCCUAAUCCAAACCAAACUCUAAUCA
rnacentral:lncRNA from 1 species